UAGAAGAAAAUAAUUUGAAGUGUAUAAUGUUUCAUAUACGUCAAUAUACUCUCCGGAAUUCUAUUAAAUCCUACCAAAACUUACUACAAUGUUGGAUGCACGAUAACAUUGAACAUCCUUCAGCUGGUCUUAUUAUCAUUGGAAAUGAAAUACUCAAGGCACGCGUGAAGGAUACAAAUUCUUACUAUGCUUGUGAUUUAUUAUAUAAAUGUGGUGUUAAGGUACAAAAAAUAUCAGUUAUAAGCGAUGAUGUAGAAGAAAUAAAGCAAGAAAUAAAGAGGUUCUCUAAAAAAUAUACUCAUGUUAUUACGUCAGGUGGUAUAGGACCAACUCACGAUGAUGUUACAUAUGAAGGUCUUGCGAAAGCUUUUGAUGAUUCGUUGCAUUAUCAUUCAAAACUUGUAGAGAUUAUAAAAGAUAAAUUUGGUGUAAAAAAUCCAACAUCACCUAAUUAUAAAAUGGCUUACAUACCAACAAAAGCUUCUUUAAUAUUUGGGAAAGGAGACAGUCUAAGGUAUCCAUGUGUAACAUUAAAGAACGUAUAUAUAUUUCCUGGAUCACCACUAUUCUUUGAAAAAUCUUUUGGAAUUUUAUGCAAGCAAUUGUUUUUAACAAAUAAGUAUUUUGCAAAGGAUGAAAUAUAUUUAAAUGCGAAAGAGGAAUUAUUUGCAAAUACCUUAACAAUUCUUUCAAACAAAUUUCCAAAUGUUUCAUUUGGUUCGUAUCCUGUAAGCAAUAAUAGCUACUACAAAGCAUUCAUUACCAUAGAAAGUGACAACAUUGAAGAAACGAAAAAAGCAAAACAACAACUUUGCGAUCUUAUAGGACCAGAUAUGUUGGUGACAAAUAAUAAUGAUCCACAUAUCAAUAGCCUUACAAAAUAUAACAACUUUCUUAAUAAAUGUCAACAAUCGUUUAUAUACGAAGAGACUUUGGAAACAUUAAUGAAAAUUUAUCAUCAUCAAUCUGAGAAAAUAAUAAUUUAUUUUGAUGGUAGUGUAGAAUCGCAGAUACUUAUACAUUUUGCUUACUUGGCUAAUACAAUAUUAGGUGUAAAUGAAAAACUACAAAUUAUUUGUUUAAAAUUGUCUCCACUUUUUAGAAAUGACAAACGAUUAAUCAAAGAUAUUGUAAAAAGAUAUAAUCUAAAUAUCUACAUGUUAGAAAGCGAUGUUUCCGAUGAUAUAAAGAAAUUAAGGUCGGUAAAACCGCAAUUAGAAAUCUUAUUAGUCGGAACGGAGGGAAAGAAAUUUUGUGAAACAUUGGAAUGUCAAUCAAGAAAUGAUGAGAUUAUUGGGGAAUUAAAAAUAAACAAUCCGCUACGUAGAUGGACGCAAGAAGAUAUACGGAUAUUCGCUAAAUUUUUAUUAUUGCCCUUUGCAUGAUUUCACAAACUCUUCGAGAUGAAACACACGUUUUACUGAAAUCCCUUACACAUACACUUUUAUAGCCUUGUACAUAUUUAUAACCACGAAGGAUGAAAAUAUUUCAUUUACAGUGAAAGUACUAAUAACAAAACAGAUAUUUUGAUAUAAUCUAUGUCCCAUCCCUCAAAGGAGAGAGGAGCAGUCAUCUCAUCGUUGCGAAUCACGCGCGACCUCGAUUUGAAAAAUCCCAAAAUGCUUCCGGCAGGUUGACGGAAGUCGUUUAAUAUUCGUAAGGGCAUGCACAGCAAGAAACACAAAAGCUUCCUACCAUUGUCUACGUGCGCUUUCAAUAUGUCUGCUCAGCCAUCCGAGCAGCGGAACUCGAAUGUACAUUGAAGAGGUAUGAGGUUCGGGGGUGGGUAUAUGGGUGAUGGGGAGGGUAAGAGCGAGGGUGAGGGAGAUAAAGAGAGAAAGAGAGAGAAAGAGAAGGAUGAAAAGGAGGAGGAGGAGGAGGGUCGCGAGAUUCCAGGGACUGAAGUUAAGAGAGGGGGAAGUCUGAGUAUAAGCUCGUAUUACACAUUUUUCAAGUGAGGGAAAAGGCUGGGUGGGAGGGAAGAGGAGGAGGAGGAGGAGGAGGAGGAGGAGGAGGAGGUGGUGGAAUCUCUCCGUUUCUACCUCCUUCUACCCUUUCGAAAUUUCAUUUCCAGUUAAAGUAUUUCUAGCUUUUUUCCUUUGAAACUUUAAAAUGAGACCGGGGAGGAGAGCCCCGCUCUGUCCUCCCAACCACCCUUUCCUUACCCCCUUUUUUCUCUCUACGUCUUCACCGAGUCCGCUCUAGUCGCGAUAUUCUGCGGAAGAGAGGUACUAUUUUUCAUAUUCUUACUUCUUCGUUUUUCUUACGUACAUACAUAUAUCGUUCCUUGCGAGAAAUCAUUUCGAAACUUCAAACGCACCUCGUUCGCGCUCUCAUUGUUAAGACAAACACGGGACACUUUUCGAUUAACGUUUUAUACACUUUUCAAGCCCCGAUUCAAGAGAAUAGACGGAUUUCAAUUGUUAACUCUGCGAAAUGUAACGAACGUCGUAAUUUUCUUUUUCCCUUUUUUCUUUUUUUUCCCUUUUCCCCCAUCCCCAAAUGAAACUCUAACAUUCAGAAAAAUCGUAAUAUCACUCGAGUACAAAUAGGUCGAACCAAAUAUGUCUAUCAAUGCUCCUCUGAUUUGAUAUUUAUAUACAUACACAUAUAACAUAUACAUAUGCAUAUCUGUUAUCAUUGUAAAUACUUUGAAUUUCAACCUUUCUUGUAUGUUUGCUAUGUCAUAUCUGUGCCAACGUCAAAAUUAUUUUCAGCUGUAAUACGACAUAUCUACGUACGUACAUAUUUCAUGCUUAUAUAUGUUUAUUAUGGUGACUCGAUUAAUAAUAGAAAAACAAAAAAAAACAAGAAUGGAGAACAUAAACGUGAUUCAGUUACGUUUUUAAAACUAUUUUUUAAUACGUCCUUUUGAUAUAACCCUUAUCGCAAUACAUUUCUCUAUAUUAUAGGAAUCGACAGGGGAAAGAGGAAAUAUUUCCUGGCUACCCCUCCAUACUACUUCCCCUUCGCAGUCCCUCCCAAGCCCCUCUCUGUCCCAUUCUUCCCCUCUUCUAUCCCAUCUGCCUGCCGCCUCCCCGUACGUCACCAAUGGGGCUUUUUCGAGCAAAGGAACUUUAUAAAAAUACCGCGUUCAUCGUCAUUUCAAUUUCGGUUAAAAAUAUUGAAGUACACCGGUGGUAUUUUUCAAACAAACACGAACUCGCACGGGCCUGGCUGCUGGCACAGACUAAACCAGCGGGGGUGGGGAUAGGGGAUGGUGGGGAAAGUGUAUAUAAUGCAAGCGCGGCGCAAAACGGAAAUGGAUAAAAUACUAUUUCAGCUUUUCUAUAGCAAUGCCAGUUUAAUAUCUGUAGAAAUUGUAUUGGUUCUUUUAUAAAGGAGCGGGGUGCGGGGUGGUGGAAAAAAUAAAAGAAAAAGAAAAAUAGAA